rnacentral:rRNA from 1 species
AGCGAACGCUGGCGGCAGGCCUAACACAUGCAAGUCGAACGAACUCUUCGGAGUUAGUGGCGGACGGGUGAGUAACACGUGGGAACGUGCCUUUAGGUUCGGAAUAACUCAGGGAAACUUGAGCUAAUACCGGAUGUGCCCUUCGGGGGAAAGAUUUAUCGCCUUUAGAGCGGCCCGCGUCUGAUUAGCUAGUUGGUGAGGUAAAGGCUCACCAAGGCGACGAUCAGUAGCUGGUCUGAGAGGAUGAUCAGCCACAUUGGGACUGAGACACGGCCCAAACUCCUACGGGAGGCAGCAGUGGGGAAUCUUACGCAAUGGGCGAAAGCCUGACGCAGCCAUGCCGCGUGAAUGAUGAAGGUCUUAGGAUUGUAAAAUUCUUUCACCGGGGACGAUAAUGACGGUACCCGGAGAAGAAGCCCCGGCUAACUUCGUG